rnacentral:rRNA from 1 species
UACGUAGGGCGCAAGCGUUGUCCGGAAUUAUUGGGCGUAAAGAGCUCGUAGGCGGUUUGUCGCGUCUGCUGUGAAAACCUGAGGCUCAACCUCGGGCUUGCAGUGGGUACGGGCAGACUAGAGUGCGGUAGGGGUGACUGGAAUUCCUGGUGUAGCGGUGGAAUGCGCAGAUAUCAGGAGGAACACCGAUGGCGAAGGCAGGUCACUGGGCCGCAACUGACGCUGGAGGAAGCGGAAAGCAUGGGGAGCGAACAGG